rnacentral:lncRNA from 10 species
ACUAUUAAGCACUAUCCUAAUUGAGAUAUUCUGUAAGUGUAAAAUACACACUAGUUUUUUUGAUAAUUUGAAAAAAGAAUAUAAAAUAUGUCACUAAGAAUUUUAUAUGGAUUACAUGUCAAAAUGAUAAUAUUCUAGAUAUGUUUGUUCAAAUAAAAUAAGUUAUUAGAAUUAAUUUCACUUCUUCGGGCUUUUUUUUUUUUUUUUGCUUUCUUGAUAUAAUUACUGGAAAAUUUAGACAUAUGCAACUCACAUUUUUGCCUUUCACUAUAUUUCCCUGGGACAGUUCUGGUCUAGAAAUAAUGAUAGUUGUGGGUUUUUAAAACUCCCUUCCAGUUCUUUUGGUCAUAUUGAGCUGGCUAGGAAUGCCAACAUAUUGUUGCAUAAAGCUGCUAUAGUUUUGUUCUUAAACUUAAAGAAAAUGCUUCUAAUGGCUUACCAUUAAAUCUAAUAGUUGCUACAGGUUUGGGGUAGACAUCCUGCAGAAAAUUCCUUUCAUUUCUUCUUUGUUAAAUGUUUUAACACUAAGUGGUUUAUUGAUUUUACUAGAUGAUGCUUUAGCAGCUCUUUUAAAAUGUUGAUAAGAUUAAUUACAUUAAUAGAUUUGCACACUAUGUACAUAUAUGCACAUUGUUUAAAAAAACAAAUUCUUCUAGAGGAUUGUAAUUAAAAAUAGCUGUUUCCUGCCCACUUCUGAUUCCCACACCUAAGUGGCAAUCGUAUUCAACCGUUUAGAUGCUUCUUUUCUAUUGAGUUCCAUGUUUCUAUUUCUAUCAAAAGUUUAUACUAUAAUUCCUUGAUUUUUUUCAGUUUUAGAUAAUUUCUAUGAGCUCCACACUAAUGAAAACAAGAAUAGUCUUCUUUCUCUCUCUCUUUCCCAUCCCCCUGCUAUCACUAUAUAAUCAUUUAUUUAAAAAUCAGUAUUCAACAUUUGCACUGGUAUGAAUAUGUAAAUAUUAUUCACAGCUGAACCAUUUGCUGUAUUCUUACUACAUAUUUUUAAUUACAUUUUGCUUUUUAUGGAGUUAAUAUUGACAUCUUUUCUUUUUUUGGAGACAGGAUCUCACUCCGUCCCCAGGCCAGGGUACAGUGGCACAAUCAUGGCUUCAUUGGAGCCUCGACUUCCUGGGCUCAAGCAAUCCUCCCAUAUCGGCUUCCCAAGUAGUUAGGACUACAGGUGCACACCACCAAACACAGCUAAUUUUUUAAUUUUUUGUAGAGACAGGGUCUCACUUUGUUGCCCAGGCUGGUCUCAAACUGCUGGCCUCAAGUAAUCCUCCCACCUUGGCCUCCCAAAGUGCUGGGAUUACAAGCUUGAGCCACCAUACAGGACCCAUUU